UCUCCGGGUUUUGACAAAGACAUAGACGUGUGUAUCCAGCCCCACAGCUGUGAUACAGGACAGUUCUGUCACCUCCACGUUUCCUCCUACAGCCUGGAUUUUAACAGUGGUUUCAGAACAUCUGAUCAAAUUCAUGACCAUGGGGGAUAUGAAGACCCCAGACUUUGAUGACCUCCUGGCAGCAUUUGACAUCCCAGAUAUGGUCGAUCCCAAAGCAGCUAUUGAGUCUGGACACGAUGACCAGGAAAGCCACAUCAAGCAGAACGCCCACGUGGACGACGACUCCCACACACCGUCCUCCUCCGACGUCGGCGUCAGCGUGAUCGUGAAGAAUGUUCGGAACAUCGACUCCUCCGAGGGCGCGGAGAAGGACGGCCACAAUCCCACCGGCAACGGCCUGCACAAUGGGUUUCUCUCGGCGUCCUCGCUGGACACUUACGGUAAAGAUGGAUCGAAGUCCUUGAAAGGAGACGUGCCUACCUCAGAGGUGACCUUAAAAGACUCCGCUUUCAGCCAGUUCAGCCCCAUCUCCAGUGCUGAAGAGUUUGACGACGAUGAGAAGAUAGAGGUGGACGACCCCCCGGACAAAGAGGACAUGCGCUCUGGUUUCAGAUCGAACGUGUUGACAGGGUCGGUUCCCCAGCAGGACUAUGACAGACUGAAGGCGCUCGGGGGAGAAGGCUUAAGCAAAGCUGGCGUCUCUACGUCAGGCAAUCUAGAGAAAAACAAAGUUGUCAAGAGAGAAACGGAAACGAAUUCUAUAAAUCUGAGUGUGUAUGAACCUUUCAAAGUCAGAAAAGUGGAGGAUAAGCUGAAGGAAAACUCUGAAAAGGUGCUUGAAAACAGGGUCCACGAGGGCAAGCUGAGCUCGGAGAAGAAUGACGCCUCCCUCGGCGGUGUGGUGCCCUUGAGGACCAAGCCAUCCUCCAAGCUGUCUUCUUGCAUCGCUGCAAUUGCGGCUCUUAGUGCUAAAAAGGCCGCUUCCGACUCCUCUAAAGAACCAGUGACCAACUCCCGGGAGUCCUCUCCGUUACCAAAAGAAGUAAACGAUAGCCCUAGAGCCAUUGAAAAGUCUCCGGAAUCCCAGAGUCUCAUCGAUGGGACAAAAAAAGCGGCCCUCAAGCAGCCGGAUAGUCCCAGGAGCAUUUCCAGUGAGAACAGUAGCAAGGGAUCGCCAUCCUCUCCUGCAGGGUCAACACCAGCAAUUCCCAAAGUCCGCAUAAAAACCAUCAAGACGUCUUCUGGGGAAAUCAAGAGAACAGUGACGAGGGUGUUGCCCGAAGUCGAUCUCGAUGCCGGAAAAAAGCCUUCUGAGCAGACGGGGUCCAUGGUGGCGUCCGUGACGUCGCUGCUGUCGUCUCCGACCUCGGCCGCCGUCCUGUCCUCCCCGCCCAGGGCGCCUCUGCAAUCGGCGGUCGUUACCAACGCGGUGGCCCCUGCCGAGCUGACCCCCAAACAGGUCACCAUCAAGCCUGUGGCGACUGCCUUCCUCCCGGUGUCGGCCGUGAAGACGGCCGGGUCUCAAGUCAUUAAUUUGAAGCUCGCCAACAACACGACGGUCAAAGCCACGGUCAUAUCUGCCGCUUCCGUACAGAGCGCCAGCAGUGCCAUCAUUAAAGCCGCCAACGCCAUCCAGCAGCAAACCGUCGUGGUGCCGGCCUCCAGCUUGGCCAACGCCAAACUCGUGCCAAAGACUGUGCACCUUGCCAACCUUAACCUUCUGCCUCAGGGCGCCCAGGCCACCUCCGAGCUCCGCCAGGUGCUCACCAAACCUCAGCAGCAAAUAAAGCAGGCAAUAAUCAAUGCCGCGGCCUCACAGCCACCCAAGAAGGUGUCGCGGGUCCAGGUGGUGUCCUCCCUGCAGAGUUCUGUGGUGGAAGCUUUCAACAAGGUGCUGAGCAGUGUCAACCCAGUCCCAGUUUACAUCCCCAACCUGAGUCCUCCUGCGAACGCGGGCAUCACGUUACCGACCCGCGGCUACAAGUGCUUGGAGUGUGGGGACUCUUUCGCCCUCGAGAAGAGCCUGACCCAACACUACGACAGGCGCAGCGUGCGCAUCGAAGUAACGUGCAACCACUGCACCAAGAACCUCGUUUUUUACAACAAGUGCAGUCUCCUGUCCCAUGCCCGCGGGCACAAGGAGAAGGGAGUGGUGAUGCAGUGUUCACACUUGAUCUUGAAGCCAGUCCCAGCAGAUCAGAUGAUCGUUUCUCCAUCAAGCAAUACUCCUGCUUCAUCUUCCGCCCUCCCGAGCUCCUCGGGAGCCGGCACACACACUGUAACAAAAAUUCAGUCUGGCAUAACCGGGACAGUCAUAUCGGCCCCUUCCAGCACACCCAUCAUUCCAGCUAUGCCUCUGGAUGAAGAUCCAUCCAAGCUCUGUAGGCAUAGUCUGAAAUGUUUGGAGUGUAAUGAAGUUUUCCAGGAUGAGACGUCGCUGGCCACUCAUUUCCAGCAGGCUGCAGAUACAAGUGGACAAUAACGGAAAAAGGACAGUCGGAUUCUUGUAGACCACAGAGAAAUCCUGGCCUGCCCCCGUACUCAAAUGCCUUUCCCCCAGUCCAGAGAACGCAUGUCAUUACUGUGAAUUCCCAGCACCCCAGAGAAGCCAAUGGCACCUGCUCCUCUGUGCUGGGAAGAUCCGUCACCGUUGUCUCAGGAAGCAGAGAGGACACAUUAGCUAAAACAGGGGCGGUGGAUAAAACUGGAGGGAGAACAGUGAGAAGACUUGCACUGUCUGCCAGAUGCUGCUUCCUAACCAGUGCAGUUACGCCUCUCAUCAGAGGAUCCACCAGCACAAAUCUCC